CAAGGGCAAGGAUUUUUGUCUGCUUUAUUCCUUGCCAGCUCUCCAAUAUGCACAAGAAUGCCUGACUCAAGACAGAAUCCUAUAAAUAUUUGUUCAAUGGGUAGAGAAAUGAUCAAUGGAUCUCACCGAACAUAUAAAAAGAUGGUCAGGGAGACAAAAUUACUCUCCCAAGAGUUACACAGCCGGCAAGGGGUGAGUUGGGAUUUGAGUUUGGGUCUGUCCCUUUCCUAGGGACUUUUCCUUCUCCGUAGCACUUAUCACCACUUAUGUAUUAUUUCUGGGCCUGUGUUUGGCGUCUCUCUCCUCUCCCACCGGAAUGGGGGCUCCAGUGAGAACAGAGUUCAUGUGUUUUGCUCAUAGUUGUCUCCCCAGCACCCAGACAGCGCUCCCCAGCACCCAGGAAGCAGCUCAUAAAUAUACACUGAGCGACACUUCAUUCUCACAAGCAAUCCUGCAAAGAAUCACUGGGCCAGAGUGGAGCUGCGGUCGGCUCCUGUGUGCUUUUCUGUGCUUUUCAAAUGAUGACAGUGAACCCAUGUUGCAUAAGGGAAAUGUUCAAACUAUGGAAAAGUGCAGAGAAUCGUACGACGACCCCACUACCUGGUACCAGCCUCAUCAAUCAGCAACACGGAGUCCCUCUGGUGUGAGGGGGUUUAAGAAUCCCUAAUUUCAGCAGGACAUGUGGCAGCCCAGAAUGAAGAUUACACUUCCCUGCUUUCUUCCCGAAUCCUAGCCAUGCUGGACCAUGUGAUGAAUUAAAGAUGGCUACUGAUUCUUUGGUCUUUCUUCCUUCAAGAGGAAGAGUUUGUUUGGACUUCCUCUCCUCUUAAAUCUGGGCUGGCCUGUGACUUAUUGGACCAACAGAAUACAGUGGAAAUGAUGCUCUGCCAAUUCCGGACUUUGGCCCCUAAGGAAACUGGCAGAUUCUGCCAUGGUCUCUUGGAUCCAUGGCUGCCAAGGAAAAGGUCCAACCACUCUGCUGGAGAGACCCCCUUGGAGAAGCCCUAAGACCUCACGGAAAGGAAUUAGGGACCCGGCUGAGCUCAGCACUGCGGUCUUCCCAAACCAUCUUGGUCCUCCAGAUGAAACCAAUCAUCAGCUGAACGCGGCCAAGUGACUAGUCAACGCCCAUGGAUCGGAAGGACCGCCCAGCUGAGCCCUGGCCGAAUUUCAGACCCGCAAAACUGUAGAAAAUAAUCAACAUGAUUAUUGUUCGGGGAGUGUCUGUUGGGUACCAAUACAUAACCAGAACAGACCAUGAGAUAGAAGGUAUUUGUUGAGGAUGCUGUAACAAUUACACCAUCUGGAGGUCUGGCCGCCUCCGGAUAUUUUGUCCUACACGAAAAGUAGACUCUGUUUGUUUAAGCUUUGAUGAUACCUUGGGUCGUGGCUCAUGGCCUCAGUUUCCCCACAAUUAUUCAUUGGAGCAUUAACGCCUGCCCUGUUACCUCCUUUUGCAUGUAAUACAAACAGUGCGUAUCCAAAAAGACCAUGGGGCGUGCCCAAGUCGUUAUGAUACAUUUCAUGUGUCCGUAAUCGGAUAUGAACUUGUCGGGGGGCCAACUGCAAUGGGUUUUGGAAUCAGAUAUGUUGGGACUGGAGGCUCAACUCUGCUACUUUCUAAUGUGAAAAAAUCGGACCAGCCACUGAAUCUCUCUGAGCUUUGUUUCCUCAUCAAUAAAAAACAGACGAUGCCUA